rnacentral:tRNA from 1 species
GCAGGCUUGUAGCUCAGGUGGUUAGAGCGCACCCCUGAUAAGGGUGAGGUCGGUGGUUCAAGUCCACUCAGGCC